UACGGGGGGAGCAAGCGUUGUUCGGAUUUACUGGGCGUAAGGGCGCGUAGGCGGCAAUUCAAGUCAUCUGUGAAAUCUCCGGGCUUAACCCGGAACGGUCAGAUGAUACUGCUUUGCUAGAGUGCAGAAGGGGCAAUCGGAAUUCUCGGUGUAGCGGUGAAAUGCGUAGAUAUCGAGAGGAACACCUGAGGUGAAGACGGGUUGCUGGGCUGACACUGACGCUGAAGCGCGAAAGCCAGGGGAGCAAACGGG
rnacentral:rRNA from 1 species